CGCGUAGGCGGCUUUAUAAGUCGGGGGUGAAAGCCUGUGGCUCAACCACAGAAUUGCCUUCGAUACUGUAGAGCUUGAGACCGGAAGAGGUAAGUGGAACUGCGAGUGUAGAGGUGAAAUUCGUAGAUAUUCGCAAGAACACCAGUGGCGAAGGCGGCUUACUGGUCCGGUUCUGACGCUGAGGCGCGAAAGCGUGGGAGCAAGACA
rnacentral:rRNA from 1 species